CUGGAGUGCUGUAUGGCGAUGCCCGUAAGCGUGAAGAUGCUCGUGACCCAGACGGCCCACACACAGGUGGCUGCCCUGGAGAGACACCAGGCAGGACGCGGGGCAGGCAGCACCGGACUCUUCUCUGCGGUGUUACUGCACGAGCGGAACCACACAUCCACAACAGGCAGACGGACAGACAGGGGAGGCGCGUACAGCAGGAUGCCAUAGAGCAGUUACAACAGAUUCGCAUUUAUCCGCCUUGAUAAAUCUCACCAUCUUCACGUGGAGAAAAGGGGCAGGUUCCGGAAAGAUACAGGCAAAUGAUACCAGUCAUAUAAAGACGAAAACCCAACAAAACGACACUUUGAAAUGUUUCUGGAUGAAUAAAUAUGUAAUAAAAACAUAAAAGCACACGUGACAAUGACAAGCAGUGAGCUCCAACAGCGACACCCCUGGGGAGGGGAAGGCGGUGGGACUGAGUAGGGGAACGCAGGGGACUGCGCGUAAGUCUGUAACGUCUAAUUUCUUAAAACGAAAAGAAUUUUACACGCAGCUACACACAUCACUAGCUUCUGACCUUCCUCUCUCCUCCCCUUUAUAGUCCGAUUUCUCCGAAGAAUAGUCUAGACUUUCUGUCUCCGUGUUCUCACAUCUCACACAUUCCUCAACCUGCUCUCCUCUGGUGUCUGGCCCCAACAAGACGUGGAAACAGCUGUUGCCCAGACCUCCGAUGACCUCCAGGCCGCCAGAUCCGACAGGCAGCAAGUGUGGUGUGGCGGCCUGUGUGUCUGUGCACGCGUGCACGCACAGUCUCAGACAUGAAAACGUGGGUGUCUGCAGAGUGUGUUUGUCAGGGUUCUCCAGAGAAACAGGAGCAGCAGGCUAUAUAUACAUGCCUAAGAGGAAGUUCGACGGAGAAUGUUCUCUCGUGCGAGGCCGAGACGUCCCACGAUCUGCUGUCUGCAAGCUGGAGACCCAGGAAAGCUGGUGGUGUGCUUCAGUCCGAGUCCAAGGCCUGAGAACGGGGCCCGCACUGAUGGGGUGGGUCCCCAUCUGAGUCCAAAAGCCCGAGACCCAGAGUGCACACAGCUCAGCCCACGGGGGGACAGCGAACCCUCCCUCCUCCGCCUUUCUGUCCUCUUGGGGCCCUCGGUGGAUGGGAUGAUGCCCACUCACAUGCAGGAGGGCCCUGUGCUUUACUCAGUCCACCAACUCAAAUGCUAAUCUCUUCCCGAACCGCCUUCAGACACUGCAGAGGUAGCGUUUUACUGGGCAGCCCUUAGCCC
rnacentral:lncRNA from 1 species